AGGAGUACAGAAAAGGCCUGCGCGUCCUCUCAGAGCCGAAAACCGCAGUGGUCUCUUCUUGGCCGUGUUCUGACGAAGCUGUUUAAAAGCUGUCACCCGACCAGUCGCCAUUGUAUGAUCCUGCUUUGCUUUUCUUCAAUGCAGCGGACCGCAACGAGAAUUUCAUUUGAAACUUGAUAAUUUAUAUGCUUAUUAUGUCUCCUCCACUGGAAUGUGCGUUCCAUGAAGGCCAGGGCUUGUGCCUUAAGACAGAGCCUGGCACAGAAUAGGCGCCUGAUGUAUAUUUUUGGAAAAUGAAUUGUGGGCUGAAAAUAAGCACGGAAUUUUCAAAAAAGUCACUAAAGAUAAAGUUUGCUGACCCUGGAGAGGAAGUCCUGACCCAUGGCUGGCAGAUGGAAGCCUCAGACAUGAAGAUUUCUCAAAGGCACCUGCUGCUGAGAGUGAUUAAUAUACUUUUGCAGCUGAAGCCUGAUGAUGGCUGGAGGAUAAAGGACAUCACCCAGAUGACAUUUUGCCUCCAAAGGUCUGGGGACCAACUGUGGAAGAACUGCAGGGAUAUGAUGUUAGCAUGUUCUUGUAUCUGGACAGGAUGAGAACUGUCUUAUAACAGCCUUAAAUCCUCAAGCCAAGUAGUAAGCACUCUGCUCCAGUCUGUGGCUUCAGACACACACAAGACCUGGAGCAAAAUCAAAUAGAAUGUAUCACCACCACUGAGCCCCAGGACCCCCCAGAUGCUUCUG
rnacentral:lncRNA from 1 species